GUCGAACGAACCUUCGGGUUAGUGGCGGACGGGUGAGUAACGCGUGGGAAUCUGCCCUCAGGAGGGGGAUAACGGCUGGAAACGGCCGCUAAUACCCCAUAUGCCGAGAGGUGAAAUGAAUUUCGCCUGAGGAUGAGCCCGCGUCUGAUUAGCUAGUUGGUGAGGUAAGAGCUCACCAAGGCAUCGAUUAGUAGCUGGUCUGAGAGGAUGAUCAGCCACACUGGGACUGAGACACGGCCCAGACUCCUACGGGAGGCAGCAGUGGGGAAUUUUCCGCAAUGGGCGAAAGCCUGACGGAGCAACGCCGCGUGAGGGAUGAAGGCCUCUGGGCUGUAAACCUCUUUUCUCAAGGAAGAAGAUCUGACGGUACUUGAGGAAUAAGCCACGGCUAAUUCCGUGCCAGCAGCCGCGGUAAUACGGGAGUGGCAAGCGUUAUCCGGAAUUAUUGGGCGUAAAGCGUCCGCAGGCGGCCCUUCAAGUCUGCUGUUAAAACGUGGAGCUUAACUCCAUCAUGGCAGUGGAAACUGUUGGGCUUGAGUGUGGUAGGGGCAGAGGGAAUUCCCGGUGUAGCGGUGAAAUGCGUAGAUAUCGGGAAGAACACCAGUGGCGAAGGCGCUCUGCUGGGCCAUAACUGACGCUCAUGGACGAAAGCCAGGGGAGCGAAAGGGAUUAGAUACCCCUGUAGUCCUGGCCGUAAACGAUGAACACUAGGUGUCGGGGGAAUCGACCCCCUCGGUGUCGUAGCCAACGCGUUAAGUGUUCCGCCUGGGGAGUACGCACGCAAGUGUGAAACUCAAAGGAAUUGACGGGGGCCCGCACAAGCGGUGGAGUAUGUGGUUUAAUUCGAUGCAACGCGAAGAACCUUACCAGGGUUUGACAUCCUGCGAACCUCUUGGAAACGAGAGGGUGCCUUCGGGAACGCAGUGACAGGUGGUGCAUGGCUGUCGUCAGCUCGUGUCGUGAGACGUUGGGUUAAGUCCCGCAACGAGCGCAACCCACGUCUUUAGUUGCCAGCAUUUAGUUGGGCACUCUAG
rnacentral:rRNA from 1 species